AAGUCAUAACAAGGUUACUGUAGGUGAACCUGCAGUAGGAUCAUUAUUGAAAAAUAGGGCUUUCCCAUUCUUUGGGGCCCGAACCUUCACAUAAUUUCCACACACUUGUGAAUCGUUGGAGCGUUUUUGAAAAAGAGACGCUCUGGCACCCUUUAAUUAUUACAAACACUGAGUUAAUGGAUGUAGUUGUAAACUUGUCUUUUGACAGAAACAAAAAUACAACUUUCGACAACGGAUCUCUUGGUUCUCC
rnacentral:misc_RNA from 1 species